rnacentral:rRNA from 1 species
UUGGCCCGGCUAAACUAUGGGAUCAUCACCCUCAUCCCUAAGGUGGCCGGGGCCUCGGACAUCCGCCAUUUUCGCCCUAUUACAGUGAUCAAUGUGAUCUUCCGUAUUCUGGCAAAGGGGUACGCCAAUAGUGUGACCCUGCUAGCUGACCACAUCACCCAUAGGAAUCACUCGGCCUUUAUCAAAGGCUGACACAUCCUGGAUGGGGGAUUGGUGUUCCAUGAAGUCCUUCAUGAUGUCCGUGUCGGGCAUCAGCGGGCGGUCUUCUUGAAGAUUGACUUCCAUAAAGCCUACGACACGGUCCACUGGCCCUUCCUUCGGGAAGUCCUCCUCCAUAAAGGGUUCGACGAUAGAUGGGUCACCCGUGUGAUGCAAAUGGUGUCCUGCAGCUGCACCGCAGUUAACAUUAAUGGGGAGAUUGGCCCCUUCUUCCCCAACCUAUGUGGGAUGAGACAGGGCAAUCCCUUCUCUCCUACGCCGGCGGCCUUUUAUAUGCCGACGACAUUUUGUCGGGGCCGUCGCCAUAGGCCAAUAUAUGCCGAUGGCCUUGCCGUAGGCGUAGAAAAGUCGUCAGUAUACAGACGUCUAUGCCGACGGCAGCCGUAG